rnacentral:tRNA from 1 species
GGGGUUGUAGCUCAGUGGUAGAGCACUUGCCUAGCAUAUGCAAAACACUGGGUUUGAUCCUCAGCACCACA